rnacentral:rRNA from 1 species
GACGAACGCUGGCGGCGUGCUUAACACAUGCAAGUCGAGCGGUAAGGCCCUCGGGGUACGACGAGCGGCGAACGGGUGAGUAACACGUGGGUGACCUGCCUCUAGCUCUGGGAUAAGCCUGGGAAACUGGGUCUAAUACCGGAUAUGACUCCACGGCGCAUGUUGGUGGGGUGGAAAGCCUUGUGUGGCUAGAGAUGGGCCCGCGGCCUAUCAGCUUGUUGGUGGGGUGAGGCCUACCAAGGCGACGACGGGUAGCCGGCCUGAGAGGGCGACCGGCCACACUGGGACUGAGACACGGCCCAGACU